rnacentral:lncRNA from 1 species
UUGUGAUAGGAGAUUCCUUGAAGAAGGUUCAAUGUAGUAAAAACAAACUGUCAGGUUGGCCAAAGAGCACUUUCUACAAAUUUUAUAAAGGAGCUUUAGUUCCAAUCCCAUCCCUAUGAUGAGUAGUGCUCUGUGUAGUGAAUUAGGUUGAGCUGAGAGCUCUUAAUGAGAUCCAAGGCGAUAAUUUUCGCGAGAUGUGACUCUACACACAUCCUUGGAGGAAACUACCUAUAUAAGAGUAUCCGUAUGUGGCCGCGGCUAUGUGAAUGGGCUAUACAUAGAAACUCUUAUGAAAAAUCAAGGUACUGUGCAUGGCCAUUAACGCACAGACCCGCGACGGAGAAUUCUGUACUGUGUGUGUGGUAGUAGAAGUCAGGGCCAAAAGAACGUAGUUCAAGACCUGAUUCACUCCGAUUCCUUCUGAUGGAAACUAUUUACACUAAGUGGGGUUAAGUCUUUUAAAGACACCUCACCUAUUGCAUAGUAUAAAUACCCGAUGAUUCAUUUAUUUAUUUGUUUAAUUUUGAUUUUAUGAUUUUGAAUUUUGUGGGGGAUUGUUGGUGUAAAAUCCAAAAUCUCCAAAUCUCAUUUAGUUUUAUAAUUAU